GCCUGAGUCGCGGGUGUGCACUAGGCCUCAGUCGUGUAUCUACUGUGUCGAUUAGACAAAGGGUAAACUCAAGGGGAGGAUGGGAGGCUGUCAAGUAGCCGACGGGCAAUGCAAUGUUGCAAUAUCGCAAGUCAUCACACUUACGGCAAAUGAUGUAAAAAAAAAAAGCUAUCAAA